rnacentral:RNase_P_RNA from 1 species
CGGGCCAGCUAGGCGACCGCUCCGGUCAUAGGCCGGAGAGGAAAGUCCGCACUUCAGAGAGCGUGGUAGCGGGUAACGCCCGUCGCCCGAGCUGGUUUUGCUAGCGAGGGUCGGAAUAGGAGCACAGUGACGAUGCCCGGCCGGCUUAAUACGUCGACGGGAGUGAAACGGCCAACCUCUACCAGAAGCAAGGUCAAGACGGGACGUUACGAGGCUGCUCGUCCAGUCCCAGGUAGACCGCACGAGGCCGUUGGUAACGGCGGUCCCAGAUAGAUGGUCGCCCUCGACAGAAUGCGGCUUAUCGGCUGGUCCGAUGC